UGGCUCAGGAUGAACGCUAGCGGCAGGCUUAACACAUGCAAGUCGAGGGGUAUAGUUCUUCGGAACUAGAGACCGGCGCACGGGUGCGUAACGCGUAUGCAAUCUACCUUUUACAGAGGGAUAGCCCAGAGAAAUUUGGAUUAAUACCUCAUAGUAUAAUGACUUGGCAUCAAGACAUUAUUAAAGUCACAACGGUAAAAGAUGAGCAUGCGUCCCAUUAGCUAGUUGGUAAGGUAACGGCUUACCAAGGCUACGAUGGGUAGGGGUCCUGAGAGGGAGAUCCCCCACACUGGUACUGAGACACGGACCAGACUCCUACGGGAGGCAGCAGUGAGGAAUAUUGGACAAUGGGCGCAAGCCUGAUCCAGCCAUGCCGCGUGCAGGAUGACGGUCCUAUGGAUUGUAAACUGCUUUUAUACGAGAAGAAACACUACUUCGUGAAGUAGCUUGACGGUAUCGUAAGAAUAAGGAUC
rnacentral:rRNA from 1 species